UAAUAAGUGUUUUAUGGCACUUUUUAAAAUCCAUAUCCACCUUGUGUGCAAUGUCAGUCGAUCUUCUUCAUGGAGAUCGACCAAACAUCAACCUUUAUCUUUUAACUCUUUGUCUGAAAAAUAUUAUGAAUAAACAAUUCAAAAUA
rnacentral:misc_RNA from 1 species